AAAGUAAUUUGAUUUUUCAAAAAAUGAGCUUUUUUUAAUAAGAAAUUAACGAACCUCGAAGGUGAAAUGAUUAUCCAUUCUCUGAGGAAAACUGCUUAAGGAAUAAAAAAAAGGAAUAAGAAAAGAAGAAAUUCGACGUGAUUGGAAUUAGAUGUCGAUCGUGAGUUGCAUCAUUACCAAAUCUUGGGUGAAUAGCCAUUUUUUUUUUUUAUUUUUUAUUUUUCGUAAGUCGAUCGGAGAAAGCUCGUUUCGAUAUCACGAAAUCGAGUCUGGAAGAUCGCUCGAACGUGAGCAAAAUUGAUUAGAUCGUGAUGAGUAUCGAAAAUUGUAAAUCAGGAAAAGAGAAAGCGUGAAUGUAAAUAAUAAAGUGGAAGGAAGAAAUAAGGUUUUUAAAUUUAAUUUAUUUAAUUGCUAUGAUUUCUUAUUGACUUGCUUAUUGAAAUUUUAUUUACAUACAACAAAUUGAUAAUGAUGGAAAAAAAUCAAAUUAUAUCUAAUUCUACUUGCUUAAACAAUUUUUUUGUCUAAAAUCUCUUAAUGUAAGUAAAAGUACUAUUUAUAUUAUAAUAUUUGGCAUUAUUAAUUUGAGAACAA